rnacentral:rRNA from 1 species
GACGAACGCUGGCGGCGUGCUUAACACAUGCAAGUCGAACGAUGAAGCCGGAGCUUGCUCCGGUGGAUUAGUGGCGAACGGGUGAGUAACACGUGAGCAAUCUGCCCUUGACUCUGGGAUAACUGCGGGAAACUGUAGCUAAUACCGGAUACGACACCUUGGGGCAUCCCAGGGUGUGGAAAGAAUUUCGGUCAAGGAUGAGCUCGCGGCCUAUCAGCUAGUUGGUGAGGUAAUGGCUCACCAAGGCGACGACGGGUAGCCGGCCUGAGAGGGUGACCGGCCACACUGGAACUGAGACACGGUCCAGACUCCUACGGGAGGCAGCAGUGGGGAAUAUUGCACAAUGGGCGAAAGCCUGAUGCAGCAACGCCGCGUGAGGGAAGAAGGCUUUCGGGUCGUAAACCUCUUUCAGUUAGGACGAAGCUUUAUUGGUUAAUAACCGAUUGGAGUGACGGUACUUUCAGAAGAAGCCCCGGCUAAC